rnacentral:rRNA from 1 species
GAAUACGUUCCCGGGCCUUGUACACACCGCCCGUCACACCACGAGAGUUUGCAACACCCGAAGUCGGUGAGGUAACCUUUAUGGAGCCAGCCGCCGAAGGUGGGGCAGAUGAUUGGGGUGAAGUCGUAACAAGGUAGCCGUAUCGGAAGGUGCGGCUGGAUCACCUCCUUUCUAAGGA